AACUAAACAAAAUGGUCUUAUGGUCUCGUUCUGUGGUCUCGUUGCCGAGAAGUUCUCUUGAUAAUUUCCUGUGCUACUUUGUUAGAAUUUGUAGCUUACAAGUUCACCGUGCGAGAGCGUCGACAUUCUACUGUAAAAACUUCCAGAGCCAUUGUGUGUUUUGGAUAGAGCCGAUAUGAUAAAAAGUUUGUGGAUAAUGUUCGUUGAUAAAUUGCAAUGUGUGAAUGCUGAUCGACUUUGUCAUACUAACUCAUACUCAUACUAAGAGAUGUAAGCAACAAUAACAAGUUUCCUGAAGAAUGUUCCAAUCGGACAGUUGGAAACAAUUAUGUCUGUAUAAGUUGUGGAAUAUCUUUGGGAAAGCAGUCACGAAGAUAAAAUCACAGGCCAUGGGCUUAUGGAAAGAAGUGAAGAGUGGUAUUAUAUAGAAAAACAAUCUCCGAGAUAGAUGCCUGAUGGAUGCCCAUGUAUGCAUUGUUUGCAGGAUGAGCUCACCUCAAAAGCAUUAAUAUCUAGUGAACAUAAAAGCUGUGUGUGUUGUUGCAAUGUAUAUAGUUCUAUUUAUUAACCCCCGACGCAAAAUUGUGUAUAUGUGUCUAUCUGUAGCAUCGUAGCUCCCAAACGGAUGAUCCGAUUUUAAUAUGUUUUUUUUUUGUUUGUAAGUUAUAUUAGUCGAGAGUGUUCUUAGCUAUGUUUGGUAGAAAUCGGUUCAGGUCUUCAAGGUCAUCAGAGAUGUUUGUUAAGUGUGAUAGGAAUGUUACACGCUCAGUUUGCUUGCAAGCAUAGGUAUGUGGGAUAAGUUAUUUUUUGCUUUUUAUAGGGUUUUUUUCACCUUUUUUCAUAAUAAUUGAGUACUUUUGUUUUGUCGGGGUUUUUUUUUGUUCAUAGAUGUUGGUAAACUAUGAGUUUAUAUCACUUUAUAAUUAUUAUAAUUUAUAUUAUUAAAUCAUUAAAUAGAUAAAAACCUG